rnacentral:lncRNA from 1 species
AUGGUCACGGCGAAGCCGGCUGCAGCUGGCCGGGGCAGCUGCUCUCAGCCCCGGGAGAGGCGGACAAAGCCCGGCGCCUGGGCCACCCCAGGCCUGGAACCCGGAGGGCUGAGCCGGGGAACUGGGACUCAGGAGAACCCCGAGCUGGAGGCCCCCGACAGCUGCUCGCGGGAGCCGCCUCCCGACACCCGAGCCCCGCCGGCGCCUCCCGCUCCCGCUCCCGGCUCCUGGCUCCCUGCGCCUCCCCGCCCCUGCCCCGCCGCCAGGAGGCCCCGCUCCGGGGUCGGCCGCCUGGGUCUGCCGGGAAGAGCGAGGAGAGGUAGGGCGCGCGGCCCGAGGCCCCGUGCGGGGCGGGGGGCGGGGGCGGGGGCGGGGGCAGGGCGGGGCGGGGCGCGGCGGCCGCGGGGGCCUGGUGGCGGAGGCCGGACGUGCCCGGCGCCUCUGGCUGUGCAGCUCGGCCAGGUGGGUCCCGGCCCGCCUUCCCAGUGUGCUGGCUUCCUGUCUGAGAAUGGGGGGAACCCCUGCCCCCCGAGAAAGUGAGUUCCAGCUGUGAGGAAGGACCCCUUUCUUUCCUCAGUGUGAAGGGACUCUCCCCCAGGGACACAGUUGCUCUGAGCGGCCCCGUGAAUCAUCCCCUCAGCCCGCAGUCCUCCCACCGGGCAGUCCCUUCCCGCACCUACCGCUGAGCGAUAACCCCCCACCGUCAGCUCCCAGGGGGCAGCCUGCCCUCAGCCCAGCAGAGAGGCCCUGACACCCUAACCGGCCGGUGACAGCCUCUAGAUGGCCAUUUGGUUCUGUUGUGAGACUGUGCCACUGCCCAGUGGGUACCAUCCUCAGUGUCCCAUCCCCCGCUCCCUUCCACACCCCCCGGGCCCAGCCUUCGCGGGCUGGUCCCCUGCUGACUGGACCUUCCUCCCCACCCCCUCUACCCCCGGCCAGUGUCUGGUGUUCAGACUCACUGCAGACACAGGUGAGAGCUGAGAGAAUAGGAGAAGGAGCAAUGCCUCUUUUUCUCAUUACGGUUCCUGCCACCGCCUUGACUUCCCUCUGGCUUGAUCAUGGUGUGUAUUUGGGAGUGGGCCCCAGUCCUCUUGGGAUCCUGUGCCUGAGCCUGAGACUGUGUGUCCCGGUGUCCUCUAAUGGUAGGAGCUUGUGGUUUCUAUCAUUUCACGUUCACAGAUGUCUGAGGAUGGCUAUUCACUAAGUGAUGGCACAGGACUUUAGAGAAGGCCGACCUGUGGAUGGAUUUGAUGUGUGCGUGAGCGUCUGUAUUUGCCCCGCUGAAAGUCUGUGUGGGUAACAGAUUUAAGAGAAUGUCACAUGCGAGUGUUUGUCUCUGAAAGUCUGUGAAGAGUUGUCUGUGACAGAGGGGUGCGUGUGCGCUCCUGUGCGCCUGUACAUGUGUGGGUGUGCGCGCUGCAUCUAGCUCCAGUGUUUACAGUCAGCUCUGUAAGUUUGCCUGGCUGACGUUUGUGUGUAGGUGGGU